GACGAACGCUGGCGGCGUGCUUAACACAUGCAAGUCGAACGGAAAGGCCCUGCUUUUGUGGGGUGCUCGAGUGGCGAACGGGUGAGUAACACGUGAGUAACCUGCCCUUGACUUUGGGAUAACUUCAGGAAACUGGGGCUCAUACCGGAUAGGAGCUCCUGCUGCAUGGUGGGGGUUGGAAAGUUUCGGCGGUUGGGGAUGGACUCGCGGCUUAUCGGCUUGUUGGUGGGGUAGUGGAUUACCAAGGCUUUGACGGGUAGCCGGCCUGGGAGGGUGACCGGGCACAUUGGGACUGAGAUACGCCCCAGACUCCUACGGGAGGCAGCAGGGGGGAAUAUUGCACAAUGGGCGGAAGCCUGAGGCAGCAAUGCCGCGUGCGGGAUGACGUCCUUCGGGUGGUAAACCGAUGUCGCCUUUGACGAAGCGUGAGUGACGGUAAUGGGUAAAGAAGCACCGGCUAACUACGUG
rnacentral:rRNA from 1 species